GUCUUGAUAGCUUAAAUAAAGCAUCGGCCUCGUAAGCCGAAGAGUGGAGGUUAGCCGCUCCUCAAGACA
rnacentral:tRNA from 1 species